CGCUGGCGGCGUGCUUAACACAUGCAAGUCGAACGGAAAGGCCCUGCUUUUGUGGGGUGCUCGAGUGGCGAACGGGUGAGUAACACGUGAGUAACCUGCCCUUGACUUUGGGAUAACUUCAGGAAACUGGGGCUAAUACCGGAUAGGAGCUCCUGCUGCAUGGUGGGGGUUGGAAAGUUUCGGCGGUUGGGGAUGGACUCGCGGCUUAUCAGCUUGUUGGUGGGGUAGUGGCUUACCCAGGCUUUGACGGGUAGCCGGCCUGAGAGGGUGACCGGCCACAUUGGGACUGAGAUACGGCCCAGACUCCUACGGGAGGCAGCAGUGGGGAAUAUUGCACAAUGGGCGGAAGCCUGAUGCAGCAACGCCGCGUGCGGGAUGACGGCCUUCGGGUUGUAAACCGCUUUCGCCUGUGACGAAGCGUGAGUGACGGUAAUGGGUAAAGAAGCACCGGCUAACUACGUGCCAGCAGCCGCGGUGAUACGUAGGGUGCGAGCGUUGUCCGGAUUUAUUGGGCGUAAAGGGCUCGUAGGUGGUUGAUCGCGUCGGAAGUGUAAUCUUGGGGCUUAACCCUGAGCGUGCUUUCGAUACGGGUUGACUUGAGGAAGGUAGGGGAGAAUGGAAUUCCUGGUGGAGCGGUGGAAUGCGCAGAUAUCAGGAGGAACACCAGUGGCGAAGGCGGUUCUCUGGGCCUUUCCUGACGCUGAGGAGCGAAAGCGUGGGGAGCGAACAGGCUUAGAUACCCUGGUAGUCCACGCUGUAAACGGUGGGUACUAGGUGUGGGGUCCAUUCCACGGGUUCCGUGCCGUAGCUAACGCUUUAAGUACCCCGCCUGGGGAGUACGGCCGCAAGGCUAAAACUCAAAGGAAUUGACGGGGCCCCGCACAAGCGGCGGAGCAUGCGGAUUAAUUCGAUGCAACGCGUAGAACCUUACCUGGGUUUGACAUGGAUCGGGAGUGCUCAGAGAUGGGUGUGCCUCUUUUGGGGUCGGUUCACAGGUGGUGCAUGGCUGUCGUCAGCUCGUGUCGUGAGAUGUUGGGUUAAGUCCCGCAACGAGCGCAACCCUUGUUCACUGUUGCCAGCACGUUAUGGUGGGGACUCAGUGGAGACCGCCGGGGUCAACUCGGAGGAAGGUGGGGAUGACGUCAAGUCAUCAUGCCCCUUAUGUCCAGGGCUUCACGCAUGCUACAAUGGCUGGUACAGAGAGUGGCGAGCCUGUGAGGGUGAGCGAAUCUCGGAAAGCCGGUCUCAGUUCGGAUUGGGGUCUGCAACUCGACCUCAUGAAGUCGGAGUCGCUAGUAAUCGCAGAUCAGCAACGCUGCGGUGAAUACGUUCCCGGGGCUUGUACACACCGCCCGUCAAGUCAUGAAAGUUGGUAACACCCGAAGCCAAUGGCCUAACCGUUGUGGGGGAGCCGUCGAAGGUGGGCC
rnacentral:rRNA from 1 species